AGCAGUCGCCGCGGGAAUACGUAGGUCCCGAGCGUUGUCCGGAUUUACUGGGCGUAAAGGGCGCGUAAGUGGUUAUUUAAGUGAGAUGUGAAAGCCCCGGGCUUAACCUGGGAACUGCAUCUUAUACUGGGUAACCGGAGUGCAGUAGAGGGUAGUGGAAUUUCCGGUGUAGCGGUGAAAUGCGUAGAUAUCGGAAGGAACACCAGUGGCGAAGGCGGCUACCUGGACUGAGACUGACACUGAGGCGCGAGAGCGUGGGGAGCAAACAGGAUUAGAUACCCGAGUAGUCCCUGUCUCUUAUAC
rnacentral:rRNA from 1 species